rnacentral:misc_RNA from 1 species
GAUGAAGAACGCAGCAAAAUGCGAUACGUAAUGUGAAUUGCAGAAUUCAGUGAAUCAUCGAGUCUUUGAACGCACAUUGCGCCCCCUGGUAUUCCGGGGGGCAUGCCUGUCCGAGCGUCAUUGCUGCCCUCAAGCACGGCUUGUGUGUUGGGCCUCCGUCCUCCUCCCGGGGGACGGGCCCGGAAGGCAGCGGCGGCACCGCGUCCGGUCCUCGAGCGUAUGGGGCUUCGUCACCCGCUCUUGUAGGCCCGGCCGGCGCUUGCCGACACAUCAAUCUUUUUUCCAGGUUGACCUCGGAUCAGGUAGGGAUACCCGCUGAACUUAAGCAUAUCAAUAAGCGGAGGA